rnacentral:tRNA from 1 species
GCGGGAGUAGCUCAAUUGGUAGAGCGUCAGCCUUCCAAGCUGAAUGUCGCGAGUUCGAGCCUCGUCUCCCGCUCCA